UGGGGAAUCUUGCGCAAUGGGCGAAAGCCUGACGCAGCCAUGCCGCGUGAAUGAUGAAGGUCUUAGGAUUGUAAAAUUCUUUCACCGGGGACGAUAAUGACGGUACCCGGAGAAGAAGCCCCGGCUAACUUCGUGCCAGCAGCCGCGGUAAUACGAAGGGGGCUAGCGUUGCUCGGAAUUACUGGGCGUAAAGGGCGCGUAGGCGGACAGUUUAGUCAGAGGUGAAAGCCCAGGGCUCAACCUUGGAACUGCCUUUGAUACUGACUGUCUUGAGUACGGGAGAGGUGUGUGGAACUCCGAGUGUAGAGGUGAAAUUCGUAGAUAUUCGGAAGAACACCAGUGGCGAAGGCGACACACUGGCCCGUUACUGACGCUGAGGCGCGAAAGCGUGGGGAGCAAACA
rnacentral:rRNA from 1 species